rnacentral:rRNA from 1 species
GACGAACGCUGGCGGCGUGCCUAAUACAUGCAAGUAGAACGCUGAAGGAGGAGCUUACUUCUCUGGAUGAGUUGCGAACGGGUGAGUAACGCGUAGGUAACCUGCCUGGUAGCGGGGGAUAACUAUUGGAAACGAUAGCUAAUACCGCAUAAUAGCAGUUGUUGCAUGACAACUGUUUGAAAGGUGCAAUUGCACCACUACCAGAUGGACCUGCGUUGUAUUAGCUAGUUGGUGGGGUAACGGCUCACCAAGGCGACGAUACAUAGCCGACCUGAGAGGGUGAUCGGCCACACUGGGACUGAGACACGGCCCAGACUCCUACGGGAGGCAGCAGUAGGGAAUCUUCGGCAAUGGACGGAAGUCUGACCGAGCAACGCCGCGUGAGUGAAGAAGGUUUUCGGAUCGUAAAGCUCUGUUGUAAGAGAAGAACGAGUGUGAGAGUGGAAAGUUCACACUGUGACGGUAUCUUACCAGAAAGGGACGGCUAACUACGUG